GCAAGUUCUGAAAAUUAUCAACUCAGCGAACAUCGUUCUGUGGUGCAAUAUAUGCUGUCAGCAUUAAAUGAUACCGAGGAUCCUUUCACCCAGCUGGAGAAAUGCAUUGAUCCAAACCUGACCUGCUACCACAAAGAUUCACUCUUCCAGAUGGUCCUCUUGUCCAAAGACUGUGUUGAUGAUAAUUGGAACCGGCGUCCUGACAUGAGUAGAGUUGUGCUACGCCUUUCACACAUCCUGUUGAACUCCAAGGAUAGCCAGGAACUUGAAUGCAGCCAACUGAUGGCCUAAACUUUCACGAAUUGGCCUUUAUUGUCUCC
rnacentral:misc_RNA from 1 species